UCCUGGUUUCCCGCCCGUUUGUAAAGGAAACUAUGUGUCGAUGGAGUUGCAAAUAUGUGCAGCCAUGCCGUCAUCUUGUGCUGUGCAGUAUGAUUACGCGUGUUGUUUUGUGGACCGAAAAACUGCGUAAAGAUGAUGUAUGUGUGUCUGAAGUUUCUUCACAUAACUUCACUAUAACUGGAAUUCUAAAAUUUCUGUGCGUGUGACGGACGGGUUCCUUGCCUCGAUAGAAUUAGAAGGUCACUCGUCUAGAUACUGAAUCAUCGAAAUGGAAACGAAGAAAGUGGGGAAGUGUGCUGGAAACAAAUGCCUCCGUUCAGCGACGGCUCCAGAGAGAGAAUUCCAGGACUGUGAGAUCAGUGGAUUUGUUAACGGCUUGAAAAAUUAUUGAAUAACGCAAAAUAGUGCAUUGUCCAAAUUUUUUGAAGAAAAGACGAAGCUUUCGGCCAAAUAUUUCUUCCGAAAUAACGAACAAAGGGCACAAGCUCAUCUUUAUUGAAAACAUCAGUUGCAUAGAAUGUAGGACCAGAAGACACUCCAUGAAACUUCCCAAAGAAAACAAAAGGGAGGAGGAAAAAAAAUAACUAUUCGGUAUAAGUUGUGACAUUUGGAUAAUAUCCAGUACACUAUUACCCCCUUACAAGUACCAAAGUGGAAUUCUACGGAACUUCUUGGAAACGCUUGUUUUCUUCUUUAAUUUGUUUUUGGAAUUCAUGGAAUAUCUUAUUCUUUCUUCGUGUGGCUGUAAUUUUGGAGCUGUAAAUUUUAUCCUCAAGUGUUGAAGUUCGUAGUUCAGACCGUACUUCAGAUGUUUCAGAUUGUUUGAAUGGUCCAGAAUCCAAAUGAAUACCACUUCCUAAUAUGCCAUGGAUUUAGAUUUACGGCUAAGUGUAUAUUUAAUGGGAUGUUAUAUAAGAAAUUUCAUGUUAUCAUGUUUAACAUCUUAUUCGAGUUAAACCUAUUGUAUGUUUAGUUAUUCGUGAUGUGGCAGCAAACGGGGAAAAAAUUUUCUGAUUAAAUGUAGUACAUCCUGGAGAUCUAAAAUGACAUGAUGUAUGUAUGGCAAAUGACUUUUAAUAUUUUAAUGAAAAGUUAACGAUGAGGCGGUUUACUACGAAAAUUUUCUGUGUAUAUGAAAAAUAAAAAAAUGAUAGGAAUGCUAAUUAUGGAAUUUUUAUGUAAUAUCAAAAAUAGCAGUAAUUUCAUGUUUCGGCGGUUUGGAUUUGGAGGAAUAAUUUACAGUUUAAAAAAUUAACUAAUGUUAAUAUGUCAAAUGGUGUAUAUAUGUACCAAAGAGUGCACUUAGUUGCUGUUUUAUAUUUUGAAAAAUUCAGUUGCUGCCAGCUAUGAUAGCUUUGAGUAACAUGAAAAGUGACUACCUAAAAAUUGAAAAAAAUAUUUUGCUUCUAGUAGCUUAAAAUCUCAGCAGAGGAAAUUGUAGACGACCUAAUAUUGCUUAUUUGUUUUUGGAUCAAAUGUUUCCAUAUUUCUUAAUGCAACUAUAUUAGCAUGUCGGUGUCAGAAAACAGUUCGUAAAGUGUAAUAAUUUCAGAGGCAUGUUUUCAGAAGCAUUCUGUUUUACAUUCAGAAAUUUUCUUUUGAAGCUAAUUGAUUGUUUCUUCCCGAGAGCAAGCUGAUGAUAAUUUAUAAUUACUUUGCUGACUAUCGCUAUUGCAUUUUCAACUAAGUAUAAUUAGAUAAGAUAGAUGCAUUAGAUCUGGAUAUUAGUAUAUAUUGAAAGAAGAAUUUAUACGAAAUACAAAGCAAAAUGAUAUUGCUUUUAAAACGAUAACAAACAUUAAAUAAUAAUAUUUUUGAAAAUAUAGUCUUAGUCUUCAUCUCGUCUAUGCUUGUUUUGUGAAUUCUUCGGCUUCAGUUUUUGAUUUUACGGUACUCGAACAAAGAAAGGUGCAAAUUCGUCAAUAUUUCAUGUUUCUGAAGAAUCUGAAGCUUGGUGUUAAAUAUCAAAGCAUUUAAUUUUUUUUCAGGUUAUGCUUCUGGUAAGCACAUAACAGAAAUAUCUUUCUGUAUCAUUACCUAAGUCUUUCAACUAAAGAUAUGAAAGUAAAAGGCUACAUCGUACCUCUGACUUCACCUAAAAGAGCACCUAAAGUAGAUCUGGAUAUUUAGGAAUGCAGAACUUGGGUAAAAACUCGCACCUGUGAAGAAUAUUACCAAGUCUAUAAACUUUGAGCAUUAAAGUGUUGAAAUGAGCUGGCACUUCGAAAAGAUAUUUAAAAGAACAUUUGAAGUAAAUAGCCUGAUAUUUCUAGGACUCCAGACACCUCUUAUCCGGAUUUCUCAUAAAUCAAACAAUCCGUGGGCAAGCCAUUGGUCUACGCACACAUUGCAUCAGUGUCUGGUCGCGCCAAUAAAUCGUCUGGAAGGUCAGCGACUUCUGAGGAUUUUUGCUGCUUCAAGUUUCUGAUCAACUUCUUCAAUAACAAAUACAUCAAAUCUUACGAUGCAGAACUAUUAAGGACAUAACAGUAUCGUUUAAAAAUUGUGAUUGGUUGGCAGAUCAAAAAUAGCAGCCGAAUCAAAUAUGUGGUCUUUUCAAAAGUUGUUUCUUGGAAGAUCAGUGUGUAUCUUGAAGCAGUUGUAUCCGUUUAACAGAACAUCAAGUAUUACCAGAAUAUGUUCAUAAGGAUAGUUAGAUUGUUUUGAACGGAUCUUAUAACCGUAACUGGGACUUAUUGGCGGAGAUUUCAUUUUGGAGGAAAUGAAUGAAAAAUCCUCAGUUUGUCAAAGUUCUUGUGUUAAAAGCACUACUGAAGUCCGUUUUAAAGUGUAACUAUCCUUAACCCGAGUACUCAACGGCUUGAAAGAAAGCGAAAAGCAUGCGUUCGGAGUGAGGUAGUAGGUUGUAUAGUUUAGAACUACACCAAACGGGCGAACUAUACAGCUUGCUAACUUUCUUCGAUCCAUGCCACAAUCAACUCAUCAGCAGUGGAAGUUGAAGACAAAUCAUCUUUUCUGCCCAAGUGCUAAGUGAAAAACCUUGUUUGAUAUUUUUUCUUGUGACAGUGACUUACUGCCUUCAGCAGUUUUAUGUGAAUUGCCUGUGAUUGUACGUUUGUAAUCUGUGAAUUACUUAUGAUUAUAUGUUUGUAGCUCUUGAACUUAUAAAGCUCUUAUUUAUAUAAAAAA